GACGAACGCUGGCGGCGUGCCUAAUACAUGCAAGUAGAACGCUGAAGGAGGAGCUUGCUCUUCUGGAUGAGUUGCGAACGGGUGAGUAACGCGUAGGUAACCUGCCUGGUAGCGGGGGAUAACUAUUGGAAACAAUAGCUAAUACCGCAUAACAGUAGAUGUUGCAUGACAUUUACUUAAAAGGUGCAAUUGCAUCACUACCAGAUGGACCUGCGUUGUAUUAGCUAGUUGGUGGGGUAACGGCUCACCAAGGCGACGAUACAUAGCCGACCUGAGAGGGUGAUCGGCCACACUGGGACUGAGACACGGCCCAGACUCCUACGGGAGGCAGCAGUAGGGAAUCUUCGGCAAUGGACGGAAGCCUGACCGAGCAACGCCGCGUGAGUGAAGAAGGUUUUCGGAUCGUAAAGCUCUGUUGUAAGAGAAGAACGAGUGUGAGAGUGGAAAGUUCACACUGUGACGGUAUCUGACCAGAAAGGGACGGCUAACUACGUG
rnacentral:rRNA from 1 species